AUGAUUUUUGAGAAUUAGUUUUAAAAAUAGAGGGAGGCUGUAAAAAUAUUAUUUUUACAGUGCAGCUAUUUGAAGAUUUAUGCAAUUAUGUGAUUAUUUGAUUUAAUUAUGGUACAUGUUAAAUGAGCAAUUUUAUUGUUUAUUUUCUGUCCAAGUGGGCAAUCUAGAAUUUUGAUUUAUUUUAUUGUUUGAUUAAUCAAACUUUGUCUUUUGAUUUUGAAAAUCAAAAAUUAUUUUAGUUAAGGCCAACAAAAGUUUUAUUUUAAAUUUCAGGAAUAUUUUUUAGCCCCUAAUUGUUAAAGAUAGCCUUUAUUUUAAUUUGGGGGUGUGAAUUGUAGUAUAAAAUAAAUAAAAUUGUGGAUUUAGUUUCUUUGGUUUUAAAAAAAAAAACAAAAGGAGAAAGCCACAACAUAUCCGGGUAGCAACAGGCGGCGAUAGAAAGAGAGUAGCGGGGCUAGGGUUUCAAAAGAAAAGAGGGAAAAUCAGAGAGGGGAGAGAGAGAUCAAAUUGAUUGGGGCAAGGGUUGUUUGUAUAGACAUAUAAUCGUGUGUAUGCUGUUUGCUUGAGUUAUAUGUUAAUUGAUGUUGGUUGAGUUUGGUCUCGCGCGGCUUGAGUCGCCGGAGACGGGGUAGCGAUGGAGGAUUGCGUCUCCGGUGGUCGUGAUUUUAAAUAAUAGAGUGACGCCGACGAGUAGUGGCGGGCUGUGAUUUUAAUCCUAUGGUGGUUGUACAACAGGGGUCAGCGGCGGGGUCGGUUGUGACUAUGUCGCCGUAGCAGUUUGAAGGGGAUGGCUGUUGAGAGUCGAAACUACAGAGAUUGCUUUGAGUUGUGGGUUUUGAAAAGAAGGCCUAAUGGAGUUAACGAUGAGGUGGGUUGAAAAGUUGUGGCUCGAGAUAUUCUACACAGCUUCUGCCAAGGUUUUGCACAGAUAGGAAUUGGGAUGGUCACCUGUAUGAGCUGCGCGUAAGAGUAAUGCUAGGCGAGAGUGUCAGGGGUUUAAGUUUCAGCUUGAUGUUCAGGUCGUGCAUCGAGGGAGAUGUCCAGGAGAAUAAUUCUGGUUAGAAUUGCUCAACUUUAGUUGAGUUAUAUAGUAGAUUAAUUUAAUUUGUUUCCAGCUAUUCUUCUCAUUGAAGUCUACCUGGUAAUGUAGUUUAAGCUGUAAUAAGAUUUGAUAGCAGAUUCUGAUUUCAAUGCUGUAACCUGUUUGCGAUCC